UUCUCUGUCUUCUCUGUUCGGUUUGACUAGGGGUAAUCAAAAGAAUGAAACAGAAGAAACGUAGAGAGAGAGGGAGGGAAGCAGCGAGAGAAAAAAGAGAGGACAGAGCAAGCUGAAGAUGGGGAAAUGGGACCCGAUUGGAGGCCGAUCGAGCCAACAACUUGGGGAAGAACAGAAACAGAGGGGUAAAAUGAAGAAAAAACAGAGCACGGGAGAGAGAGAGCUCGAGAAGGAGCCGGCCGAAGAAGAAGAAGAAAGGAAGGCUCUGGUUGAAAGAAAGAAAACAGGGAGAAGGAUGUGAGAGCGGCAGCAGGUUAGUGACUGGAUAACCGAUCAAAGAGGGGAGUCGGGUUCGAGCGGAUUGAGAGCAGAUUGACUAGGGGGAAAUAGGGGGAGCAUCCGAGAGGAAGAGUUUAAGCUUAUAAUUGGGUAAAUUAACUGAUAUGCUUAGAUGCUGAAAGUCACGAGAUGUGAUUAGAACACGGCCAUAGCCACGGCAGCAGCAAGACCGGCGGCCACAAAGAUCUGAGAUCCAGAGGAAAGCUUGAUGGAGAAGGCAGAGGAUUCUGGGGGUGGGAUGGAGGGAGUGGUUGGAGUUGGAGCAGGAGCCGAGGCAUCGAGCACGGUGAUGGCGAGCUUCUGCUGGAGGUUGCUGCAGUGCUGACCAACUCCGCAGAUGUACCAUUUCUUCCCCGGGCUCUUGAGCUCGAUGACGUCAUUUCCGGUGGUCAGUGCCAGGUUUGCUUCGGGCUUGAUGCACUGCUGGAACUCGGUCUGGUUCACUCUGAAGACGUUGUGGUUCGGAGGUGUGUACUUGAACACUGCAAAACAGUUGCACAGAUGUUAUUUUGCCAUGUCAGCGGACAAAUCAUGUGCUCAUCAAUGUUUUUUAACGCGACGUUAUGUCAGGAGGGAGUCGCCGACCCGGAAGACUUUGCUUUCAGCCCAGGUCUUGUAGUCAAAAUUGAUGGUCCAGCCUUGUUCAUCCCCGACGGUGUGCUGCGUCGCCAGUGCGAUCGAGGGAAGCAGAAGAGCCAAAGUGGCGAGGACGAUGAACUGACUGGGAGCCAUUAAUUCCAGGAUGCAGUGGUCUACAAUGCACUUGAUAAUUUCUCUCUCUCAGGUGGCUUCUACCCUGAACUGAUUGGUGAGGUGAGCGAAUGUUGAGGUCUAUUGGCAACUAUUUAUACAGUUUCAAUCCUCAUUGGAAAGUUUGUAAGACAAAAGGGGGCCGGCCGACGGCAGUCAGCCCUUUGUUGAAGGGGUUUCCUUAGGUAGCUCUGCGGAGCCUGCAAAGACAUCACUAGGCAAUGCCACAAUUAACGAUUAAAAAGAAGGCAUCGAAUAUUAAGGAAAAAUUUAUUAUACAAUCAUUUUUAUGGUGUCAUUAAUUUUUGGACCGGGGAUGACCAUUUAUGUAUGUAGUUUUUCAUUUGUGAUUGCAAUCUACUUGUUCAAAUUGGUUCAAGC